rnacentral:lncRNA from 1 species
AAGCAAACAAACUGCCUUUCAGCUUUAGCAUGCCUUAGCACUGGUAAACACUUCCUCAAUCCUUUACUUGCUGAAGUCGAAGUAUCUUUGGUGGUCUUACCCUUUUGUGAGUGAGUUAGCUGGCAGUAUGUGUCUGGAAGCCCACUCCUGUGCCCUUGCCAGCAAAUGAACUGGAAUAGCAGAACUGAUGUCAAACAAACAAAAUGUACUGCAUACUAGAUUUUCAGCAACAAAGGAAAUAUAGAAUCAGCAAAUUCUCAGUGGAUAAAGUCUGAUACUUCCUCUACUUUGAGAGUUGUACAGCUAUAUUUUUCACUCCUGUUUCCAAAGUUUUCAUAUUUCCCAGGCUCCACAGCAUUUUAAGUUAGAGUUUCUGAAACUGUAGUCUUAAUUUGUAGUGUCUUUGCUGAAGGUUCACUGAAAUUGAUGUAAUCUAGGAGGACAGUACUUCUGACAGUCACAGGAUUUUAGUUCACCUGUGAAACAUAAGAUGGCUCUUUCCCAACUCCGGUGUGUGCAUUUCUGUCGUAUGGCAGUAAAGCGGGCUUCUGUGCAUGCAGGCUUUAUUCCAGUGUUGGUGUAAAGCCAUGAAGGAGCAUCUGUACUGGAGCUCCAAAGCUUGGAAAUACUCCAGAUUUCACCAGCUGAGAUAUAGCCUGUGAGGUGUGUGGUUGCACACAGCUGCCCAUCUUUUUUUUUUUUUUUUUCCUUUCCUAGUUGUAUGGGGAAGGAAGAAAUGAAGAAAAAUGCAGUAGGAAAGUAGGAAUAAUGAUAAAUAUAUUGUUCAAAAGACAAAAGUAUAUAUCUCAGUAGAGAAAUGCAAACAUUGAAGUACUUUCCUACAAUGAUUUCUAUUUUAUUUUUACUGAUUAUGCACUCUUUGCAGCUGUCAUAAGGCGUCAAUUGCAAUGGAAAAGGGAAAUGGAAUCUAUGCAAUUGCCAACUGAAAAGAAGAAAAAAAUACAGCACAAAAUGGGACAGUUGAGAGCAGAUAAAGAAGACUUUCUUGGCAAAGAACAGAUGACUGCAAUACCUAGAUUGCUGCACUGACUGAACUAGUGAAAAUGGCCUGAGAGAACACAUCAGAGUGUUUAUAAAAUUAAAGAUAAAUAAAUAAAGAAAGAAAGAAACA